AUUGAACGCUGGCGGCAUGCUUUACACAUGCGAGUCGAACGGCAGCACGAAAGAGCUUGCUCUUUUGGUGGCGAGUGGCGAACGGGUGAGUAAUGCAUCGGAACGUACCGAGUAAUGGGGGAUAACUGUCCGAAAGGAUAGCUAAUACCGCAUACGCUUUGAGAAGGAAAGUGGGGGCUCUUCGGACCUCACGUUAUUCGAGCGGCCGAUGUCUGAUUAGCUAGUUGGUGGGGUAAAGGCCUACCAAGGCGACGAUCAGUAGCGGGUCUGAGAGGAUGAUCCGCCACACUGGGACCGAGACACGGCCCAGACUCCUACGGGAGGCAGCAGUGGGGAAUUUUGGACAAUGGGCGCAAGCCUGAUCCAGCCAUGCCGCGUGUCUGAAGAAGGCCUUCGGGUUGUAAAGGACUUUUGUUAGGGAAGAAAAGGAUAGUGUUAAUACCAUGAUCUGCUGACGGUACCUAAAGAAUAAGCACCGGCUAACUACGUG
rnacentral:rRNA from 1 species